GACGAACGCUGGCGGCGUGCUUAACACAUGCAGGUCGAACGGAAAGGCCCUGCUUUUGUGGGGUGCUCGAGUGGCGAACGGGUGAGUAACACGUGAGUAACCUGCCCUUGACUUUGGGAUAACUUCAGGAAACUGGGGCUAAUACCGGAUAGGAGCUCCUGCUGCAUGGUGGGGGUUGGAAAGUUUCGGCGGUUGGGGAUGGACUCGCGGCUUAUCAGCUUGUUGGUGGGGUAGUGGCUUACCAAGGCUUUGACGGGUAGCCGGCCUGAGAGGGUGACCGGCCACAUUGGGACUGAGAUACGGCCCAGACUCCUACGGGAGGCAGCAGGGGGGAAUAUUGCACAAUGGGCGGAAGCCUGAUGCAGCAACGCCGCGUGCGGGAUGACGGCCUUCGGGUUGUAAACCGCUUUCGCCUGUGACGAAGCGUGAGUGACGGUAAUGGGUAAAGAAGCACCGGCUAACUACGUG
rnacentral:rRNA from 1 species